GAUGAACGUUGGCGGCGUGCCUAAUACAUGCAAGUCGAACGGAGAUUGUAGCAAUACGGUCUCAGUGGCGAACGGGUGAGUAACGCGUUGGUGACCUGCCCCGAAGUGUGGAAUAACAGAUCGAAAGAGCUGCUAAUACCGCAUAAUAUCCAGAAGACUAGACGCUUUUGGAUUAAAGGAUUUAUUCGCUUCGGGAGGGGCCUGCGUCCCAUCAGCUAGUUGGUAAGGUAAUGGCUUACCAAGGCUAUGACGGGUAGGGGACCUGAGAGGGUGGCCCCCCACAAUGGAACUGAAACACGGUCCAUACACCUACGGGUGGCAGCAGUAGGGAAGUAUUAGUAAUGGGCGGAAAGCCUGAACUAGCAACGCCGCGUGUGCGAAGAAGGCCUCGGUUGUAAGACACUUUAGUAGAGGAGUGAGGAAGGAACGGUACGUCUCAGAAUAAGUACUCGGCGUAACUACGUAGUCCGACGCGAGCCGCGGUAAAACGGUAGUGUGUA
rnacentral:rRNA from 1 species